rnacentral:rRNA from 1 species
UUUUGGACAAUGGGCGAAAGCCUGAUCCAGCAAUGCCGCGUGAGUGAAGAAGGCCUUCGGGUUGUAAAGCUCUUUUGUCAGGGAAGAAACGGUGAGAGCUAAUAUCUCUUGCUAAUGACGGUACCUGAAGAAUAAGCACCGGCUAACUACGUGCCAGCAGCCGCGGUAAUACGUAGGGUGCAAGCGUUAAUCGGAAUUACUGGGCGAAAGCGUGCGCAGGCGGUUUUGUAAGUCUGAUGUAAAUCCCCGGGCUCAACCUGGGAAUUGCAUUGAGCUGCAAGGCAGAUCUGGCAAGGGGGGAGAUUCCACGUGAGCAGUAAAUGCGAGUUGUGAGAACACCAUGGCAAGGAGCCCCCUGGUAAUGUAGCGUAUGCAAAACG